UACAGAGGUCUCAAGCGUUGUUCGGAUUUAUUGGGCGUAAAGGGCGCGUAGGCGGCGGGGUAAGUCGGGUGUGAAAUCUCAGGGCUCAACCCUGAAACUGCACUUGAUACUGCUCUGCUUGAGGACUGGAGAGGAGACUGGAAUUCACGGUGUAGCAGUGAAAUGCGUAGAUAUCGUGAGGAAGACCAGUGGCGAAGGCGGGUCUCUGGACAGUUCCUGACGCUGAGGGCGCGAAGGCCAGGGGAGCAAACGGG
rnacentral:rRNA from 1 species